rnacentral:rRNA from 1 species
UAAUUCCAGGCUCAAUAGUGUAUAUUAGAGUUGUUGCAGUUAAAAAGCUCGUAGUUGGAUUUCUGCUGUGGUCAUCCGGUGCCGCCCGUACGGGUGCGCACCUGGUUUGGCUGCGGCUUUCUUCCUGUAGCCUUCCGCGCUUAAUUGCGUGUGUUGUGCUGCGGAACUUUUACUUUGAGAAAAAUAGAGUGUUUCAAGCAGGCUUGUCGCCCUGAAUACUUCAGCAUGGAAUAAUAGGAUAGGACCUUGGUUCUAUUUUGUUGGUUUCUAGGACCAAGGUAAUGAUUAAUAGGGACAGUUGGGGGCAUUCGUAUUUAACUGUCAGAGGUGAAAUUCUUAGAUUUGUUAAAGACGAACUACUGCGAAAGCAUUUGCCAAGGAUGUUUUCAUUAAUCAAGAACGACAGUAGGGGGUUUGAAGACGAUUAAAUACCGUCGUAAUCUCUACCAUA